rnacentral:rRNA from 1 species
CCUACGGGUGGCAGCAGUGAGGAAUAUUUGUCAAUGGCCGAGAGGCUGAACCAGCCAAGUCGCGUGAGGGAAGACGGCCCUACGGGUUGUAAACCUCUUUUGUCGGGGAGCAAAGCGAGUCACGUGUGGCGGGAAGGAGAGUACCCGAAGAAAAAGCAUCGGCUAACUCCGUGCCAGCAGCCGCGGUAAUACGGAGGAUGCGAGCGUUAUCCGAAUUUAUUGGGUUUAAAGGGUGCGUAGGCGGAAUGUUAAGUCAGCGGUAAAAUGGCGGUGCUCAACACCGGCCUGCCGUUGAAACUGGUCUUCUUGAGUGAGCGAGAAGUAUGCGGAAUGCGUGGUGUAGCGGUGAAAUGCAUAGAUAUCACGCAGAACUCCGAUUGCGAAGGCAGCAUACCGGCGCUCAACUGACGCUGAGGCACGAAAGCGUGGGGAUCGAACAGGAUUAGAUACCCUUGUAGUC